rnacentral:rRNA from 1 species
UACGAAGGGGACUAGCGUUGUUCGGAAUUACUGGGCGUAAAGCGCACGUAGGCGGAUUUGUUAGUCAGGGGUGAAAUCCCGGGGCUCAACCUCGGAACUGCCUUUGAUACUGCAAGUCUCGAGUCCGAUAGAGGUGGGUGGAAUUCCUAGUGUAGAGGUGAAAUUCGUAGAUAUUAGGAAGAACACCGGUGGCGAAGGCGGCAUCCUGGACCAACACUGACGCUGAGUGAGCGAAAGCCAGGGGAGCAAACGGG